rnacentral:rRNA from 1 species
AGGGAAUCUUCCACAAUGGACGCAAGUCUGAUGGAGCAACGCCGCGUGAGUGAAGAAGGCUUUCGGGUCGUAAAACUCUGUUAUUGAAGAAGAACGUGUGUGACAGUAACUGGUCAUGCAGUGACGGUAUUCAAUCAGAAAGUCACGGCUAACUACGUGCCAGCAGCCGCGGUAAUACGUAGGUGGCAAGCGUUGUCCGGAUUUAUUGGGCGUAAAGCGAGUGCAGGCGGUCUUUUAAGUCUGAUGUGAAAGCCUUCGGCUUAACCGAAGAAGGGCAUCGGAAACUGGGAGACUUGAGUGCAGAAGAGGAGAGUGGAACUCCAUGUGUAGCGGUGAAAUGCGUAGAUAUAUGGAAGAACACCAGUGGCGAAGGCGGCUCUCUGGUCUGUAACUGACGCUGAGGCUCGAAAGCGUGGGUAGCAAACAGGAUUAGAUACCCCGGUAGUCCACGCCGUAAACGAUGAAUACUAAGUGUUGGAGGGUUUCCGCCCUUCAGUGCUGCAGCUAACGCAUUAAGUAUUCCGCCUGGGGGAGUACGACCGCAAGGUU